rnacentral:sRNA from 1 species
UUGUUGCAUAAGGGAUGGGAAUGGCAUCCUUUUGUUUCCUUCUUUAGGAAACAAAAGAUACAAUGGACAGCCCGACCCUUG